GCCACGCGCCCCCUUGCUUCUCUCUUCCCCUGCGUCGUUCUCUCUCCCGGUGCUCUAUUGGCCGGCGAUUCCUCCAGCUUGUCCCAGCUCGCCUAGCUCGGAUCUCUUCCUGCCGACGCUCUUCCUGGGAGCUUCCCUCAGCUCGCUCCUCCCAUGGCCGCGCCCUGGGAUUUGCCCGGAGCUCUCUCUGCUCAUCCUCAAGCCGCUCCUCCUCUCUCUCCCAUGGCGCUCGGUGCUCCUCUGCUCGGUUUUCCCUGCAUCGCGCACGUUCCGCCAUCUCCCUCCUGGCCAUCGCGUCCCUCUCUGCUCGCCAGCCGAAGCUCCUUGGCGCGUUCGCCCAGCGCGCCGUCUCAGCUCCAUCUCCUGCUCGGCCGCCGUUUCCCAUGCUCGCUGCGCUGCUCCAUCUCUGCCCUCUGCUCGACGUUUCCUCGGCGCUGGAUUUUUUCUACGCUCCCUGCUCUAUCUCUGUUGCCGCGCGAGCUCGCCCUGGCUCGGAUCCAACGCCCGACGCCCAGCUCCGACCUCCCUCCCUGGCUUUCCCCGAGCUCGCGGUCAACCUGCUCGUUGGUCCCUCAUCACCCAUCCUUUUGUACCAGCCGUCAAUUUUCUAUUCACCACAACGCCGUCAUCCCCUGCCGUGCCCCAGAUGUCGUGCUUGUUGUGGUUGGCUCUGGUGGUCGGCAUCGUCGACCGUCAAUUCCGUCAAUAGCCACAUUCAUUCGUUAUUGUUCUGUACUCCGCGAGAAAGAAAUCUAGGGAAUUUGGAUAAAGAAAAAGCGAACCCCAUCCGUUGCUUCCAUGGUGUGCUGAGAAAUGCUCCCACCGGACAUCGCCGUCAAUCUCACGAAUUCAGAUCGGGUUUAGGUACGAUAAUUAAUCGCGUGAUGCGGAAGACGAGCCAAGUCGACCCCAAGCACGGGCUACUCCGCACGGUGAUGCUGAUGGACAAACCUGCCUGAUCAAGUGCUAGGACAAGGAUGAUCGUCAAGUGGACGUCACCUAACAAACACUAACCUAGUGUUACCCAGGCAAGCCCCGGUGCAUUUGCCACCUCCUUGCUGUUUUAAAAUCUUUAUCACCUUGUGUGAUUCAUUAGGUGAUAGGAGUUGUGUGCCAAACAAAUGCUGCAU
rnacentral:misc_RNA from 1 species